CAAUUUUGAGAAUACAUAAAACAUUUGAAUUUAUGCCUUUUCAUUUCCACUGACCUAAUCUUGCCAUCCUGAGUUGGUCUGUGUAUUCUUAGAUAUUCAGCAAAAAAAUAAACUUUCUACCAUUAGCAUAUUCAAUCUUCACUUGAAACAAAAGAUCAAGUAAAAGAAAUAUAGUUAGAGAUGAUUUUGGCAAGCAAUCAAAUCAAGUUUUACACGAAAAUUAUAAGAACGAUUCAACCUCCUAAUAAUUUAUGAAAACAUAUUAAAAACUCCCCAAUCAAAUCAAGUCUUUUCUAAAAUGGGCUUUUCUCAUUCCAUAAAAAAAAAAAAUGGUUCCUGCCAUGAAAACUAAGGCUUCAUGAAGAUUGAGAACAAGAACAAGAAAUAAAAGAGAAAAAAAGAUUUUCAGAGACGAGUUUUGGGUUUGAGAGGAAAUUCUGAAUGGCAACUUUGAAUUUGAUAAUUUGAUAAGGGAAUAAGAAGAAGAUGGAGUUGUUUUUAUGACGAACAAAAGGUUUGUAAUAAGAGGUGAGAAACCGCAUUCCUUACCUAAG
rnacentral:lncRNA from 1 species